GGCCUCGUGGUGAGUUCACGUUAGGUUGCAAACCUAAAGACGCAGACUACCGUUUGCCUGGGCUU
rnacentral:tRNA from 1 species